rnacentral:misc_RNA from 1 species
GUGAAUCAUCGAAUCUUUGAACGCAAAUUGCACUCCCUUCGGAGCGUAUGCCUGUUUGAGGGUCAGCCUCAAAAAAAUCGAAAACGUUGCUGUUUCGCGGUGGCGUUAGUCGGAAAUUGGGUUAUCUUAAAUCUUUGGUUUAAGCGACUUAAAAUUUUAUUUACGAUUACAUGAACGAUUCCAUGCUUUAUUUCUUUACAUGUUUA